rnacentral:rRNA from 1 species
CCAGUGGCGAAAGCGGCUCUCUGGUCUGUCACUGACGCUGAGGCUCGAAAGCGUGGGUAGCGAACAGGAUUAGAUACCCUGGUAGUNCACGCCGUAAACGAUGAGUGCUAGGUGUUAGGCCCUUUCCGGGGCUUAGUGCCGGAGCUAACGCAAUAAGCACUCCGCCUGGGGAGUACGACCGCAAGGUUGAAACUCAAAGGAAUUGACGGGGGCCCGCACAAGCGGUGGAGCAUGUGGUUUAAUUCGAAGCAACGCGAAGAACCUUACCAGGUCUUGACAUCCUGAUGCUAUUCUUAGAGAUAGGAAGUUACUUCGGUACAUCGGAGACAGGUGGUGCAUGGUUGUCGUCAGCUCGUGUCGUGAGAUGUUGGGUUAAGUCCCGCAACGAGCGCAACCCUUAUUGUUAGUUGCCAUCAUUAAGUUGGGCACUCUAGCGAGACUGCCGGUAAUAAACCGGAGGAAGGUGGGGAUGACGUCAAAUCAUCAUGCCCCUUAUGACCUGGGCUACACACGUGCUACAAUGGUCGGUACAACGAGUUGCGAGCCGGUGACGGCAAGCUAAUCUCUGAAAGCCGAUCUCAGUUCGGAUUGGAGGCUGCAACUCGCCUCCAUGAAGUCGGAAUCGCUAGUAAUCGCGGAUCAGCACGCCGCGGUGAAUACGUUCCCGGGCCUUGUACAC